UUUGUCGUUUCCAGUCAUUUUUCCUCACUCAUCAAUUCGUCCCCAUCCCCUUUCCUCUUUCUGCCAUAGUGAUAAGGUUCGUCAGCACAAAAUCGGCGGCCGGUGGAGGGCAAGCUGCUCGGCGGCGAUAACUCGCGCGACUGUGACGGCGAGUAGAGGGCAAGCUGCUCGACGGUGAGGAAAUUCAGUCGCUGUUGCGUCGAUAGCUCGUGCGACCGCGGCGAGAAAGAGACACGUCCGCGCGACGAGGGAGCCUAGCCGCUCACUGCUGACAGCUCGCGCGACUGCGGCCUGUGCAGGAGAGGCGCGUCCGCACGACUACGGAGCUAAGCCGCUAGCUGAAGGCUUACGUCCAGCACAACAAUGGAUGCAACCUGUCCGUUGGACUGUCCGAGACAUAGAAGUUCAAUUCAACAAAGCUGCCAACAUCUUUCCGUGCAAACGUACAAAAACUCAAACCCUCACCCCAUCUCGUUUUGUUGUCCUUUCUUUAAAGCAUGGCAAAAAAAUGUGUCGCCUCUGUUUUAUAUAGACCAAUUUUUCACUGGGACAGAAAUAUUGCCUACAACGGCAAACUAUAGUAGCCUGUAAUAGUAAAUCAUGUGUUGCAGAAAUGCACACCAUGCUGCCUGCAUGGCAAAGCACAAGAAGAUUGACUCGUUCCAUUGGUCUAAUUUUUGACAGCUUUAUAACUCAAUCAGUUCUAAACAAAAAAUAUGUUGUUCAACUACAACAUGACCAGUUGCUAAAUCCUAGAUGUUAUCAGUAAACAAUAACGCUAGAUUGAUUGUGCUGUUUACAGAAUUGGUGAAAUUUGCACUCCAUCUUCCAACAUCCAAAGUAGUCAAGUUUAAUUAAUUAGAGCUGGGUAAAGAAGGUAUAUGACCUAGAAAUUCAAACACUAAGUCUGGCUGACACAACUCCUUUCACUUGCUGUCAUGCCGAUUUUGUAGAUCUGGAGUUGUCAGUUCUGGCUGACCUUUGUUUUUUGUGUUCCUGCAUACACCGACCAAGUGCCUCAAUGUGGUCAUGCUAAUUUCUGGCACCAAGUGAGCCCGACCAAGAGGAGCUAGCCAGAUUUGGAGUUCUCGUUGCCGCCAUCCUUCGUUGCCCAUCAGGCCUGGCCUUUCGUAGGUGUGUGUACUGCAUGCUUUCAUGUUCAGUGGCGGUCUGGCACCAAUCUGCAGAGGAGCUUGGUAGAUUUGGAGUUGUCGUUGCCAGUGGCGGAGCUUGACAAGAAUCCAUGGGAGGGCCAAAGACACACACACAAAAAAAUUAACCAACUGCAACAAACCAGAACUUGUAGCCUCCAGUCAAAUUUAUACUUAUAUUAUCCAUAUUGGUUGUAAAAUACAUGUAUGAUUAACAAUAUAUAUUUCAUAAGAGAACUAACUACACCAAAAUA